rnacentral:rRNA from 1 species
CGAAGGGAGCGAGCGUUAUUCGGAAUCACUGGGCGUAAAGCGUGCGUAGGCGGAUAAGAAAGUCAGAAGUGAAAUCCCAAGGCUUAACCAUGGAAUUGCUUUUGAAACUUCUUAUCUGGAGUAUGGUAGAGGAUAGCAGAAUUCCGAGUGUAGAGGUGAAAUUCGCAGAUAUUCGGAGGAACACCAGUUGCGAAGGCGGCUAUCUGGACCAUUACUGACGCUGAGGUACGAAAGCAUGGGGAUCAAACAGGAUUAGAUACCCUGGUAGUCCAUGCCUUAAACGAUGUAUGCUAGCUGUUGGAAGUCUUAGACUUUCAGUGGCGCACCUAACGGAUUAAGCAUACCGCCUGGGGAGUACGGCCGCAAGGUUA